GACCGCGCCGGCGCAGCGGCGGGCGCGCACGGCGUCGCGCCUGGGCUCGGUGGCGAAACGGCCGGCAACCUGUCCGACCCGUCUUGAAACACGGACCAAGGAGUCUAACAUGUGCGCGAGUCGUUGGGCGCUACGAAACCCGAAGGCGCAAUGAAAGUGAAGGCCCGGUCUCCGGCCGGCCUGGGUGGGAUCCCGGCGGUCUCGGCCGUCGGGCGCACCACCGGCCCGUCUCGUUCGUUACGUCGAGGAGGCGGAGCAAGAGCGUACACGUUGGGACCCGAAAGAUGGUGAACUAUGCCCGAGUAGGACGAAGCCAGAGGAAACUCUGGUGGAGGUCCGCAGCGAUUCUGACGUGCAAAUCGAUCGUCAAACUUGGGUAUAGGGGGGAAAGAUUAAUCGAACCAUAUAGUAGCUGGUUNCUGUCGAAGUUUCCCUCAGGAUAGCUGGCGCUCGUCGUGAGCAGUUUUAUCCGGUAAAGCGAAUGACUGGAGGCCUUGGG
rnacentral:rRNA from 1 species